CGAGGACCGGGCCCGGUCCCCACCGCCAGAGCCGGUCGACUCGGAAGACCAGUGGGGAAAAGGCCAGCCCGGCGGCCGAGCCCGUCGCGCCCUCCACGGGCCUCCCCCGCAAGGCCCCGGCCGGUCCCCCACCUCCGGAGCGGGGCGCGGAAAGGGGAUCGGCGACGCGGAAGGCCCGACCACCGGGCCGCCCUCAGGACGACGGCCGGGCACGGGACGAGUUCCCUCGCCCGUUCCCCCGCGGUGGCCCCCCACCCCCUCCCGGGGACGGAGGGGCACCGGCGGCUGCUGGUCGACCCGUCCGGGAGGCCCCACACCCCGGCCGGCACCGGGCGGCGCGGCGACAGCCACCUCCCUCAGUAGCCUGCACCUCCAAUCUCCGGCGAGCGGGCGUCGCGCUCACGCACCGGCGCCACCGGGCCAGAUCCCGCCAGCGACGCCGGCCUCCCGGGACUCUGCCUCGGUCACCGCGGCCGAGUCCCGUCCCUUGGCCCGCGUCGCCGGAGCUCCGGAGGAAAGAGACGAUAUAAAAGCGGCCGCCAGGUGGCACCCGGCGACCGGCGACCGCCUCAGCGGGACGGAGCCGGAGCGCGGGCCCGCCGGGGAGCACAGCCGGGCCGCCGGGCCGCCAGAUCCCGUCCCGGCGCCCCCGGACCCAGCCUCCCGGCCCAGCUCGGCCCCGGGGCGUCCGCCCGCGGGCUCCGGCCGCCAAGGCGCAGCCCCAGCCGCAGGAGGGGGACCCGGAAAAGGUUUCUCGGGCGCUCACCGGGAAGGGGACGGGGAGAGUUCCCCCAGAGAGGCCAGGGGUCGGCCCGGGCCGGGCUGAGCCGGUGCGGCCGGGAGGCCGCCGCUUCCCGGAGCGGCCGGAGCGCCCCCGGGGCUCCCGGGAGGACUUAGAAAAUCAGGGCGGGCGGGGACGGUCAAACCGAAACCAGGCACGUCAUCCGAGAAGGACCGUGAUGACGGGAGGAGGAAAGCUUUCAAGCGCAGAGGGUCUGUCGAAGGCAGGCGGAGAGUCUACCCGCUGAAACGGACGAAGAUGGGAAAAAGAGGCUAGCUGAGGUGCCGACAUUUAAGGAAAUUAAAAAAAAAAAAAAAGCACGAGGGCGUGGAGAACUGGGGGAAAAUCAACACUGAGAAAUCUACCCUCUGAAACUGACGAAGAUGGGCAACAGGGGCUAGCUCGGGUGGCAAUCUUUAAGCAGAACACACACACACACACACACACACACACACACACAGGCGUAGAGACCUGGGGAAAAAGCAACGCUGAGAAAUCUACCCUCUGAAACUGACGAACAUGGGCAACACAGGCUAGCUCAGGCGGCAAUCGUUAAGCAAAAGAAACACACAAGGGCGUGGAGACCUGGGGAAAAAGCAACACUGAGAAAUCCACCCUCAGAAACUGAGAAAGAAGCGCAACAGAGGCUAGCUCAGGUGGCAAUCGUUAAGCAAAAGAAACACACAAGGGCGUGGAGACCUGGGGAAAAAGCAACACGGAGAAAUCCACCCUCUGAAACUGACGAAGAAGGGCAACAGAUGCUAGCUUAGGUUCAAUAUUUGAGCAAAAAAAAAAAAAAAAAAAAACCCACACACAAGGGCGUGCAGAACUUGGGAAAGAGCAAGACUGAGAAAUCUACCCUCUGAAACUGACAAAGAUGGGCCACAGAGGCUAGCUCAGGUGGCAAUCGUUAAGCAAAAGAAACACACAAGGGCGUGGAGACCUGGGGAAAAAGCAGCACUGAGAAAUGUACCCUCUGAAACUGACGACGAUGGGCAACAGAGGCUAGCUCACGUGGCAAUCGUUAUGCAAAAGGAAAACAC
ensembl:lncRNA